GCAACUGUGCCCUCGUCUGGGCUCCCGGCAGGACCCGAGCAGGCUGGCUCCCGGCUCGGGUACCACGCUGGCCCUCCACCCACCUGAGCUUCCUGGUGGGCUUCGGGGAACCUCCUCUUCCUCCUUUGGGGCUGGAGGCGGGGUGUUGGUGGCAAAAUGCGCGAAGUGAGGUGCCAAGGUUUUGCCACCGAAGAUCGAAAAGCAGUGCUGCGCGCGCGGAGAUCCUUCCUCUCGGCCCGAGGUGUUUCUCAGGCUUGACCUUGAAUCCACAGCCAUUGGCAUGGACCCAUAAACCCAAUCUGGGCAAUCAUGAUACUCCAUGAUUGUUUGGCAACAGUAAUUGGCUCAAAAGGUGACCGUGUGAUCCAAGCAGGGCCCAACUAUGUAACUUCUCUAGAACUGAAGUUUGGACAUUAGAAGAAAGAAGUUUUGUCCACUGCAGCCGCUAAAUAGAGAGACUGUCGAUUUGGGGCUACUGGUGGUCAUCUUUUCCACCACGCGGAGAGUCUGUUUACAGGGUGAAGCUUGUGUAGUAAAGGACUAACCUUACCCAAAGAAAGAUGUGGCCUUUGCCCUUUGCUCCUGGGAGAAGCUCUUUAAACCCCUGGCAAGUCCUACCUGACAAGAGUGUCUCUGUGUACCCCGGGGACUUGGGCCUCGCCAGGUGGCCUAACAAUGUGAUGAUAAGAUGGAAACUGGGACACAGAGAGGGAGAAGACCAUGGGAAGGUGGAGGCAGAGAUUAGAGUGAUGCGUCUACAAGCCAGAAAACCCAAGGAUUGUCAGCAGUGUCCAGCAGCUAGGGAGAGGCAAGGGAGGGUCCCGGCCUAGAGUUUUCAGGGAGAGCCUGGCCCGACCAACAUCUCCAUCUUGGACUUCUAGCUUCCACAACUGUGAGGCAAUAUACCUCAUUUUUUAAGGUUCCCUGGUGGUUUUAUGGAGGCGCUCCUUACAAUCACAACAAGAACUGCAGGGUUGGACUAGUUACCACAUAAGCUCCAGUUAGAAUGUGUCUGUGAACCAUCAAGCAAGUGGCCCUGGGCCCAGUGAGUGCCCCAGGCACUCCUAGUCGAUAGCGGCACUAUCGAUAUAGGCUUUGACCAUCACAAAGCAGACUGCAAGGAAAAGGCCUCACUGAGGACGUAAUGUUUCAGCCCAUAUCUGAAGGAGGUGAGGGAGAGAGUGUGAAGUGUCUGAAAAACGAGCAUUCCUGGUGGAAGCACUUUCUCGAGUGUGGUCAGACAGUUCUCUUAGUUUUUCCAUAAACAUGUACGGUCUUCAGUUAUUUUAGAGAACACAUUCCAGAAAAUAACACACUUAGGUUCUGUUGACCAACGUGUGGAGCAACUAUCACAAGACCCUGGACAAUGAGCGUUCGCUUUUUAACCCUCCAUUCACUCCUCAUCCCCAUGCAAUCUGGCUUCUGGACAUGUGAUGUUGCAACGUUUAAGACUGAAGCAACUAAGUAAAACCAGCUGUCUUCUAUUGAGCCCGACGUGGAGACGCGGAAAAAUCCAAAGAUUUUCUCACUGAGAGAGAGACAUCUGAGUAAAGACCAAAGAGAUUCCAAGAAGCGCAGAGGCAAAUCGGCACUGGGACCUUGGCUGGCUUUCUUGAUGUCAAAGUACUCACAUGCAGCCACAAUUACAUUCACUGAAAUAAAAUAAAGCAUGUUGAACACUU